AAUUAAUUUCCUCAUUUAGCAAAUGUUUAUUGGCAUCUUUGUCUCAGAUGAUGUAUGCUAAGUAUUUCACAUAUUUUUCUCAUUUCAUCCUCAGUACAUAUUAGGUGUGAGGUCUUGCUGCUUGCUUUGCAAAUGAAGAAACAGAGCUCAUGAAAUUUAACUGAACACAAAGGCUUGGUCCAAGGGGUGGGCACAUGACCCAAAUCAACCAAUCAGUUUCUUUCCUAGGUCUUAUAUACACUGGAGAAGGAAGAGAUUUUCUUUUCUGUGUCUGGGUUUUUGAAUAAGGAUUCUGGAUGCAGUCAUUCUGUCUUCCAGGCAGGUGUUGUCAUGGGAAACCAGAGAGGAUGGGACUGACCUGUAGAAGAAAACUGAGCAAUGGGGUAGCCUGGAACUCUAGUAAUACUACUUUUCAGAAGCUUUGUGCCCAAGAUACUCACCUGCCUACAUUAGGACUCCCCGGCAGAGAGAGAGGUUUGCUGCGCAUUCACUGCAGCUCACACACACUGGAUCUCAAGCCAGCUUUAUUUUCUCAACACAAAAGUACAAAUGGAAAAUAUUUAUGUAAACUUCAAGGAAGCUACGAGGAAAUGAAGAAGCCACUUAAAGCCUUAAAGCCAUGUUUUACAGAACUCAUCCUCUUGCUCUGUGGGGAAGGAAUACGAUGAAGUGAAGAGAGUUUGGGAGGAGACUACUGUAGAGGUGCACGGAAGAGCCGAUGAUCAGCAGGGGAAGGUGGAGGCCGUGGAGAGGACAAACAAGGGACCGAUUUGGUAGCUUCUGGUCUUUUCGUUGGCGGGCCCUGGGAUCUAGUUCUUGGUUUCCCCAUCUGUAAAAUGAGAGCUACGCUCAAAUAUUCUCCUAGCUCUGGGGAUCUUGGAGGGUCUGUUGAUUCUGGCCCUGAGAGCUUUCCAAGGUUUGCUUUUUCUCUCAAGGCUAAGAAACCCUCACUGGAAAGAAUUUUGAUUUAUGGCUUAAUGAUAAAUUACCCAACUUUCUAAAGUUUUGCUAAUAUUUUAAGCACAUGACUAUCUUGUGUCCCAGCUUCUUAUUGGGAGGUAGUGGGGGAGGGUGUUACAUUAUUAAUAAAAUAUGAAUAUAUUAAA